AAGAAAGCAGGAAAGGGCGCAUGGCGGAUGCCUUGGCUCACGGAGGCGAUGAAGGACGUGAUAAGCUGCGAUAAGCCCCGGGUAGGUGCAAAUGACCUUUGAUCCGGGGAUUUCCGAAUGGGACAACCCGGCAGGCUGGAGGCCUGUCAUCACCGCAGGAGCGGUGAGGCGAACGGAGGGAACUGAAACAUCUUAGUACCUCCAGGAAGAGAAAAUAAACUAAUGAUUCCCCCAGUAGCGGCGAGCGGACGGGGAAGAGCCCAAACCUGCGGCGUAGCGAUGCGCCGCGGGGGUUGUAGGACCACGCUGUCGUACUCUGAUUGUGAGGAGAAUAUACUGGAAAGUAUAAUCAUAGAGGGUGAGAGUCCCGUAUCCGAAGCAUGAGGAGGCGUAGUGGCAUCCUGAGUAACGCGGAACACGUGGAAUUCUGCGCGAAUCCGCCGGGACCAUCCGGCAAGGCUAAAUACUCCCGUGAGACCGAUAGUGUACGAGUACCGUGAGGGAAAGGUGAAAAGCACUCCGACGAGGAGAGUGAAAGAGUUCCUGAAACCAUGCGCCUACAAGCGGUCGGAGCCGCGCGAGCGGUGACGGCGUGCCUUUUGCAUAAUGAACCUACGAGUUGCCAUGUCUGGCAAGGAUAAGCGUCAUGAGCCGCGUAUCCGCAGUGAAAGCGAGCCUGAACAGGGCGUCGAGUCAGACGGGGCAGACGCGAAAGGAUGGAGGGCCGCACGGAUAAGCGUUGAAAAGCUUCCCGAUGAGGUGAGUGUAGGAGUGAAAGGCCAAUCAAACUUGGAGAUAGCUCGUACUCCCCGAAAGGCAUUUAGGUGCCGCGUGCGGCGUUGUCCGUGAGAGGUAGAGCGACCGGUAGGUCGAGAGGGCUUCGCCGCCUGUCGAGACCUGACGAACUCCGAAUGCUCUCGGAUCGCAGCCGUGCAGUAAGGGGGCGGGUGCUAAGGUCCGUCCCCGAGAGGAGAAGAAUCCAGACCGCCGUCUAAGGUCCCGGAAUUCUGCCUGAGUUAGUCUAACGAAGUCCGGUCCCCGUGACAGCUAGGAUGUUGGCUUGGAAGCAGCCAUUCAUUCAAAGAGUGCGUAACAGCUCACUAGUCGAGGGUCCGGGCGUGGAUAAUAAUCGGGUAUAAGGCAGAUACCGAAGGCGCGGGAUAGCAAUGUAUAUUGAAAGUAUCGGUAGGGGAGCAUUCCAUCGGCGUCGAAUGGUGAGGGAAACUGAUCCUGGAGCUUAUGGAAAAGCAAAUGUAGGUAUGAGUAACGAUAAAAAGGGUGGGAUUCCCUUUCGCCGAAAGACCGAGGUUUCCCGGGCGAUGCCAAUCAGCCCGGGGUCAGUCGGGUCCUAAGUCUCAGCCGAACGGCGAAGGCGAUGGCAGAUGCGGUCAACAUUCCGCAACUCGCAUUAUCAGUGACGUGGAGAC
rnacentral:rRNA from 1 species